GACACUUUGGCGGAGUGGUUAACGCGAUGCCCUGCUAUAUGUAGCAUAGGCAUUUCCCUCGGGAGCGUGUGUUCGAAUCACACAGGUGUCG
rnacentral:tRNA from 1 species